rnacentral:rRNA from 1 species
CCUACGGGCGGCAGCAGUGAGGAAUAUUGGUCAAUGGACGCAAGUCUGAACCAGCCAUGCCGCGUGCAGGAAGACGGCUCUAUGAGUUGUAAACUGCUUUUGUACGAGGGUAAACGCAGAUACGCGUAUCUGUCUGAAAGUAUCGUACGAAUAAGGAUCGGCUAACUCCGUGCCAGCCGCCGCGGUAAUACGGAGGAUUCAAGCGUUAUCCGGAUUUAUUGGGUUUAAAGGGUGCGUAGGCGGUCGGAUAAGUUAGAGGUGAAAUCCCGAGGCUCAACUUCGGAAUUGCCUCGGAUACUGUUCGGCUAGAGAGUAGUUGCGGUAGGCGGAAUGUAUGGUGUAGCGGUGAAAUGCUUAGAGAUCAUACAGAACACCGAUUGCGAAGGCAGCUUACCAAGCUACUUCUGACGUUGAGGCACGAAAGCGUGGGGAGUAAACAGGAUUAGAUACCCGGGUAGUC